rnacentral:rRNA from 1 species
GUAGCAUAUCAAUAAGCGGAGGAAAAGAAACCAACAGGGAUUGCCUCAGUAACGGCGAGUGAAGCGGCAGAAGCUCAAAUUUGAAAUCUGGCGUCAGUGGCGUCCGAGUUGUACUUUGGAGAGGCAUCUUCUGGAGGGGCCCAGCCUAUGUGCCUUGGAACAGGACGUCGCAGAGGGUGAGAAUCCCGUUCUCGGCUGGAUGUCCCCUCCUGUUUGCAGUGUCUUCUACGAGUCGAGUUGUUUGGGAAUGCAGCUCAAAAUGGGUGGUAAAUUUCAUCUAAAGCUAAAUAUUGGCGAGAGACCGAUAGCGCACAAGUAGAGUGAUCGAAAGAUGAAAAGCACUUUGAAAAUAGAGUCAAACAGUACGUGAAAUUGUUGAAAGGGAAGCGCUUGAGACCAGACUCGGCCUUUGACAAACAGCGAUCCCACUGGGUCGUGCACUUGUCAUCGGUCGGGCCAGCAUCGGUUGGGAUGGCGGGAUAAAGGCCCGGGGAAUGUGACUCCAUCCAGGAGUGUUAUAGCCCUUGGCGCCAUGCCGCCCGUCCCGACCGUGGACCGCGCCUCGGCUAGGAUGCUGGCGUAAUGGUCUUCAGCGGCCCGUCUUGAAACACGGACCAAGGAGUCUAACGUCUAUGCGAGUGUUUGGGCUCCAAACCCUCACGCGUAAUGAAAGUGAACGGAGGUGGGAACCCCGCAGGGGGAGCACCAUCGACCGAUCCUGAUGUCUUCGGAUGGAUUUGAGUAGGAGCAUAGCCGUUGGGACCCGAAAGAUGGUGAACUAUGCCUGAAUAGGGUGAAGCCAGAGGAAACUCUGGUGGAGGCUCGCAGCGGUUCUGACGUGCAAAUCGAUCGUCAAAUUUGGGUAUAGGGGCGAAAGACUAAUCGAACCAUCUUAUUGCUGGUUCCUGCGAUCUCUCUCUCUCUAGUAGUUAUUAAA